GGUCAGUGAUGUUAAGUAAAAGGUCUGAAGCUCAGGUCCUCUCUGUCGGCCAUGUCGGCUCCCAGCAGCGCUCGGCUCCCAUCGUGCUCUAGUCAUGCAGUGAUGGUCCCAGCCGCUGCUGACAGACAGGAUGUGACAUCACAGUGAGUCUGUGCAGAGACCUGCAGCCUCACUGUGAUGAUGAGUGACAUCCAACAGAACCAAUCAGCACGGAGCGAGAGGCCGGGGGGGGGUGCGGCCUGAGCGCUGAUCUCAAUCCUCUACUGAGACC
ensembl:scaRNA